AUGUUACCUGUUCAGUUUGGACGGCCUGUAGCCUCACAGUCCCGCUGUCACAACACGCAGCUGAAGUUAUACAAGACCGAAAGCAAAACAACGGCUGGCUCGGGAAGUGGGGUCUCGAGCUGGAAAUCCCCCUCCUCUCUCGCGUCGGGUGACGCGCGCGAGCAGCGUCGCGGAAGUUUCUUGGCAGCGUGCGCGCUCCCCCAAAAACCUGAACGAAGAGGGCUCACUCUGCUCUUAUUUCUUGGCACCACAAAAGUCAACAUAAACCUCUUCUCAGGCUUUAUUUAUUUAUUAUUUAGAACUUGUACUAUAAAUGCAGCAGUGUUAGCAACGAGGUUGUUUUUCAGAUUUUACACUGUCACCCUAAAAGUAUAUAUAUGUAAUUAUAUAAGUAAUGUAUAUAAGUAUAUAUUUUUUUGCACCUUUGACUUACACUUGACUGGAUUGUGGUACUAAUGUAAUCAUCACGAUGAAGACCAUGUUAUGUUUGUUUUAUGCAUCUGUUUCAUACAAUAACAGUAUUCCAUAAGUGCAGUGAAUAUAUGUGUGUAUUUAGGUCUGUGUGUGUGUAUUUGUGUAUGUAUGUAUGCGCAUAUAUAUGUAGCCAUGCACAUACUUAGACUUUUUUUUUACUUAGACAUUGUCCCUCUUUAUUUAAUUUAAAUAAUUACUAUUUUCAUUUAUAUAUAUAUAUAUAUAUAUAUAUAUAUAUAUAUAUAUAUAUAUAUAUUUUAUCCUUAUUUUUGUCAUAUACACAAAUCACAAUUGCACUGAAAAUUGUUUUUGAAAAUAUGCUAAUAAAGAGUUUUGGGGAAAAAAGGCUAAAAAAAACAUUAGGCCCACUAGAAUUAGUUAAAUUAAAGGAACCUGCGUCCUUUGAAUAUAUUAUAGAAUUACAACAAUACAUAACUCUCAAUACUCAUCUGUGCAAUUCAAAUGAAGUGCAUAUGUAGUUCAAUAUUUUUGUUAUUAUUUCUGAUUUGUUAUUGCAUUAGCUACAUACCUCUUUGAGUAUGUUUUAUGACCUGGCUGCUGUAACAACACAAACUCAGUUUGGUUUUCCUUUCUGUUUUAUCCUAGCCACACCACGGGUUAUGAAGUU